rnacentral:rRNA from 1 species
AUUGAACGCUGGCGGCAUGCCUUACACAUGCAAGUCGAACGGUAACAGGUCUUCGGAUGCUGACGAGUGGCGAACGGGUGAGUAAUACAUCGGAACGUGCCUAGUAGUGGGGGAUAACUACUCGAAAGAGUGGCUAAUACCGCAUGAGAUCUACGGAUGAAAGCAGGGGAUCGCAAGACCUUGUGCUACUAGAGCGGCCGAUGGCAGAUUAGGUAGUUGGUAGGAUAAAAGCUUACCAAGCCGACGAUCUGUAGCUGGUCUGAGAGGACGAUCAGCCACACUGGGACUGAGAAACGGCCCAGACUCCUACGGGAGGCAGCAGUGGGGAAUUUUGGACAAGGGGAGCAAGCCUGAUCCAGCAAUGCCGCGUGCAGGAUGAAGGCCUUCGGGUUGUAAACUGCUUUUGUACGGAACGAAAAGCCCCGGGUUAAUACCCUGGGGUCAUGACGGUACCGUAAGAAUAAGCACCGGCUAACUACGUGCCAGCCGCCGCGGUAA